CCGGGUGGUAGCCGGUUGACCUCGAACUAGCUUUCGGGCAAGCAACAAGAGUGGCGAUAGGGAGAUAGGGAGCUAGAUGUCGUAGGGAGGAUUUCACCGACCGAAGAAUAUCAAAGUCGGGAAGCCGACAUCAUAUACUGGGGAGUCAGACUGUGGUUGAGAAGAGGCAUAGUCGAAAGGGAAAGAGCGCAGAGCGGCAGCUAAGGUCCCUAAAUGUAAGGGAAGUGGUAAAGGGUGUGGGAUUGCACAGACAACCAGGAUGUUGGCUUAGAAGCAGCCACUCAUUCAAAGAGUGCGUCAUAGCUCACUGGUCGAGGGAUCCUGCGCCGAAGCUGUCCGGGGCUAAAACUGACUACCGAAGCUACGGCAGCAGUAAUGAAGGGUAGGGGAGAGUACCAUACGGGUUGAAGCAUGACCGUAAGGACAUGUGGACAGUAUGGGAGUGAGAA
rnacentral:rRNA from 1 species